rnacentral:rRNA from 1 species
GACGAACGCUGGCGGCGUGCCUAAUACAUGCAAGUCGAGCGAUGAAGAUCGGUGCUCGCACCAAUUUGAAGAGCAGCGAACGGGUGAGUAACGCGUGGGGAAUCUGCCAUUGAGCGGGGGACAACAUUUGGUAACGAAUGCUAAUACCGCAUAACAACUUUAAACAUAAGUUUUAAGUUUGAAUGAUGCAUUUGCAUCACUCAAAGAUGAUCCCGCGUUGUAUUGGCUAGUUGGUGAGGUAAAGGCUCACCAAGGCGAUGAUACACAGCCGACCUGAGAGGGGGGUCGGCCACAUUGGGAGGGGGACACGGCCCAAAGUCCUGCGGGAGGCCGCAGGAGGGAACCGGGGGCAAUGGAGGAAAGUAUGACCGAGUAAGGCCGAGGGAGGGGAGAAGGGUCUCGGAUGGGGAAAAUCGGUUGGUGGAGAAGAACGUUGGUGGGUGUGGAAAGCGCAUUAAGUGACGGUACCUACAGAGAAAGGGACGGCUAACUACGUG